rnacentral:rRNA from 1 species
GAAGCGGCAACAGCUCAAAUUUGAAAUCUGGCGCACGCCCGAGUUGUAAUUUGGAGAGGAUGCUUCAGGGCAGCGGCCGGUCUAAGUUCCUUGGAACGGGACGUCAUAGAGGGUGAGAAUCCCGUAUGCGACCGGUUGGCACCCGUCACGUAGCUCCUUCGACGAGUCGAGUUGUUUGGGAAUGCAGCUCUAAAUGGGAGGUAAAUUUCUUCUAAAGCUAAAUACCGGCCAGAGACCGAUAGCGCACAAGUAGAGUGAUCGAAAGAUGAAAAGCACUUUGGAAAGAGAGUUAAAAAGCACGUGAAAUUGUUGAAAGGGAAGCGCAUGCCACCAGACUUGUCGGCGGUGUUCCGCCGGUCUUCUGACCGGUCUACUCGCCGCCGGCAGGCCAGCAUCAUCUGGGCGCGCCGGACAAAGGCACGGGGAAUGUGGCUCCUCGGAGUGUUAUAGCCCCGCGCACAAUACGGCGCCGCCCGGGUGAGGUCCGCGCUUCGGCUAGGAUGCUGGCGUAAUGGUGGUCUGCGGCCCGUCUUGAAACACGGACCAAGGAGUCUAACAUCUAUGCGAGUGUUCGGGUGUCAAACCCCUACGCGGAAUGAAAGUGAACGGAGGUGGGAAGCGUAAGCUGCACCAUCGACCGAUCCUGAUGUCUUCGGAUGGAUUUGAGUAAGAGCAUAGCUGUUGGGACCCGAAAGAUGGUGAACUAUGCCUGAAUAGGGUGAAGCCAGAGGAAACUCUGGUGGA